UAGAAAGGACUGAAUGAUGCAUGUUAAAGAGGAAUAGAUAUGAAUCUCUAGUUCUUAUUGGAUUCCAUUGAAACCAUUGGAAAUAAAAUGUCUGUGAUACACACGCUGAAGGUAUCCUGAAAAUACCAUCAUUGCAUCUUCAGUGAGGAUGGCAAACAGGAAGCAACAUGGUGUCUGCAGAGCAGAUUUUGAAAGUAGAGUGGCC
rnacentral:lncRNA from 1 species